GAGAGUAUAGCUCAGUGGUAGAGCACGUGCUUAGCAUGCAUGAGGUUUGGGGUUCAAUCUCCAGUACCUCCG
rnacentral:tRNA from 1 species